AUAAAUAGCUCCGGCUUCCGUUUGCCUACCUCUUUGUGCUGUGGACCGGUUGGUAGUAGUAUGAGUCCUUUCGGUCCGCGUGGCGUCUUCCGCGGAACCUGCCGUUCAGUGUCGGGAAGGCACAGGGCACACCUUUGGUGUAGCAACCCGCCUGCAGGCUCCUGAUCCUCGCAGACGGGUCCUCAGCGCAGCGAUGGGGUUUUAAGACGUCCAUUGGUGUGUAAUCCUUAAAUAAAGCAUGAGAGUUCUGCAAGCCCAGCUAAGGGCAGUGCCCCUACCCAGAGAUUCUUUGCUAACCUGAAGACUGAAAAGGUUUUGGAAUCUACCCCAUGGGACACUGUUGGGAUGCUUAGGUUCCUGCUGUUGCAUCCUCAGGCUGUCAUGACAAGUGGAGAGCAACCCUUUCUCCCUGGUUACUAUGGAUUUUGUUGACACAAAGGAUGCUCUGAUGUUGGACGGUUUCUAUGAAUAUAACAUCUUUCCUGUAUUAAACUGAGCAGCUAUGAAGCACAAAUAACUGGCUAAAAUUUUUGGGACCCUACCAUUAAGUAGGAUAUUUGCUUGUGUUUUCUCAUUUACAAGCACAUGAUUUUAUUGGAAAAAUUUCAAUAAAAUAUUUUAAAGCAA